UGGGGAAUAUUGCACAAUGGGCGCAAGCCUGAUGCAGCCAUGCCGCGUGUGUGAAGAAGGCCUUCGGGUUGUAAAGCACUUUCAGCGGGGAGGAAGGCGUUAAGGUUAAUAACCUUGGCGAUUGACGUUACCCGCAGAAGAAGCACCGGCUAACUCCGUGCCAGCAGCCGCGGUAAUACGGAGGGUGCAAGCGUUAAUCGGAAUUACUGGGCGUAAAGCGCACGCAGGCGGUCUGUCAAGUCGGAUGUGAAAUCCCUGGGCUCAACCUGGGAACUGCAUUCGAAACUGGCAGGCUAGAGUCUUGUAGAGGGGGGUAGAAUUCCAGGUGUAGCGGUGAAAUGCGUAGAGAUCUGGAGGAAUACCGGUGGCGAAGGCGGCCCCCUGGACAAAGACUGACGCUCAGGUGCGAAAGCGUGGGGAGCAAACAGG
rnacentral:rRNA from 1 species